UACGGAGGGAGCUAGCGUUGUUCGGAAUUACUGGGCGUAAAGCGCACGUAGGCGGCUAUUCAAGUCGGGGGUGAAAGCCCGGGGCUCAACCCCGGAACUGCCCUCGAAACUAGAUAGCUAGAAUCUUGGAGAGGCGAGUGGAAUUCCGAGUGUAGAGGUGAAAAUUCGUAGAUAUUCGGAAGAAACACCAGUGGCGAAGGCGACUCGCUGGACAAGUAUUGACGCUGAGGCGCGAAAGCCAGGGGAGCAAACGGGG
rnacentral:rRNA from 1 species